CGGGGGCUUGGGGGGACUGGCCGCUUGCGCGGGCCGAGCCAAGCGCGCUAGGAAGGCCGGGCCGGACCGGGCUCAGAAUCCGCCGCCGCCGCCGCCGCCGCUCCUCAGACGUCACAUGAUGUUUGGUCACGUGGGUUCCAUUCAUGAAGCGGCGACGCGGCUGGCCUAAGCUUAAAGGGAAAGGCGCGGCGACUGCUAGGAGAGCGCGCCCCCAGCACGCCUGCGCAGCCCCGCGCCGUCGUCCUUGGCAACCCGCCGCGCCCAGGCGAUGUCUCGCGGGACUAGUCCCGGCGCUCACCCGGUCGACCGUGCCCCUGCCGGGUCAGGUUCUGAGUGUAUUUGCUUUUUUCGCGGACCUGGACCCUGAUGGAUGAAGCUCCCUCCAGACCUCCAUGCUAACUCAGGCCGAGGUCUACGGGACAGAACCUGCCUGGUGCAUUCUGCUGCUACUCUUUCUGUGAGGAAACUUCCCACUGCUGUUGAAAAUUCUGAGAAUGAAGUGAAAAGAAGGAAAAUGGAA